GACAUAGGUGGCGAACGUUAUUCGGAAUUAUUGGGCGUAAAGGGCGCGUAGGCGGCCUUUCAAGUGACGGGUGAAAUCCCUCGGCUUAACCGAGGAACUGCCUGUCAGACUGGAAGGCUUGAGACCGGGAGAGGUGAGUGGAAUUCCCAGUGUAGCGGUGAAAUGCGUAGAUAUUGGGAGGAACACCAGUGGCGAAGGCGGCUCACUGGACCGGUACUGACGCUGAGGCGCGAAAGCGUGGGGAGCGAACAGG
rnacentral:rRNA from 1 species